AAUACUCGGGGUGCUUCCGAUACUUGAUAUUCAUGUAUGGAGGCUGAGAUUAUACCCAUUGACCUGAUGCAGAUAAUGCUGCCGUAGGAAAAAUGAGAAU
rnacentral:ncRNA from 1 species